GAUUUAUUUUACCAUCUGAUGGCAACACACAAUUUCGUCUAAAAGCAGAGCUUGAUCUUUCUAGCAAAUACUUUCUUCUUUCAGAUAUUAGUCGAAAGGUUUUGCAUGUAUUUGAAAUAGAAGAAGAAAUAACAAAAAAUAUAAUUAAAAUAUCAUCUAUAACAGAAUAUUUUCUUGAUCAACCUAUACUUAGUUUUGUUAUUGCAGAUGUUUUGAAAUAUAAAGGCAUAUUCAAUAAUAAUUCAAAUAAAAUAAUUCAAGAUAAACAUAAUGAUUUUAAUGUGUGCCUAAAACUGGUGUGGAUCAAUGCCAAGUAAGAUUAUAAUACAAUUAUAAUUUUAAAUUUUAAAAAUCAUUAUUUUUAUAAUUAAAUUUUAUAUAUGUAUUUAGCCAAAACAUGGCAUAGAAAGGCAAUAUGCUUUGCAUGUUUUUGUAACAUCUAGCGCACAUCAGUAUGUGUAAAAUUUUGCCAAAGCAUUGUGAAAAGUAAGAAGAACUAUAUAUAUAUAACUAGUAGCCCGGGACGCCCCCUAGUGGGCGUUCUUUACAAAUUUCCAUCAGGCACGGUUCCUUUGACUUUUUUGUUCCUAUCA